GGUACCAGUACAGAGACAAUGUGGAGGCUAUAUACAGGGGGUACCAGUACAGAGACAAUGUGGAGGCUAUAUACAGGGGGUACCAGUACAGAGUCAAUGUGGAGGCUAUAUACAGGGGGUACCAGUACAGAGUCAAUGUGGAGGCUAUAUACAGGGGGUACCAGUACAGAGACAAUGUGGAGGCUAUAUACAGGGGGUACCAGUACAGAGUCAAUGUGGAGGCUAUAUACAGGGGGUACCGGUACAGAGACAAUGUGGAGGUUAUAUACAGGGGGUACCAGUACAGAGACAAUGUGGAGGCUAUAUACAGGGGGUACCAGUACAGAGACAAUGUGGAGGCUAUAUACAGGGGGUACCAGUACAGAGACAAUGUGGAGGCUAUAUACAGGGGGUACCGGUACAGAGACAAUGUGUGGGGGCACCGGUUAGUUGAGGUAAUUGAAAUAAUAUGUACAUGUAGGUAGAGUUAAAGUGAUAGAUAAUUAACAGAGAGUAGCAGCAGCGUAAAAGAGGGGGGAAGG
ensembl:lncRNA